ensembl:lncRNA
AGAGAGGGAAACAGGCAGGAGUACUUUCUGGGCUGAUCACACGUGACAGGAUUUAUUUGUUCCUUCUGAAGGCUGAAUAUGAGACCUCCAAGGAAGGAGAUGCCAAGUAGUGCUUCAAAGCUUCGGACCACAAUCAAACACAGCAUCCUUUUCAACAGAAGCAGAAGCUCAUCUGAAUAUGCUCAAGGAUGCUGACAUCAACAUUUAAUCAUCUCCUCACUCAUCCAGGAAGAAGGGGAGAUCAGAACUUGAAUUCAAUAUUCUUUUGGAGCAAGCUGAAUGAUUUUGAGCACACGCCCCGCCGAGGAUGAGUGCACAUGAACUCCCUGCCUGGUCCAGCUCUCCUGUCAGGUGUGUUUCUGCUCCACAGAUGGCCUACGUUCAUCUUGAUGGUGAAGUGGCAUCAAAAGAAAGGCACCCUAGAAACCUAUCUCACCAAAGCAGCGUCUCUGUACCACAGAGAUGAAAGUCGUAGAUAACAGGGGCAUUCCCAGCACUCACUCCCUUGUGGGUAGCUGACAGUUAACACAGG